ACAGAGCUGGACUCUCUGGACAUUCUAUUAUUACAGAAUGUCCGAGCACCUUUGGUAGUUCGAUAUAACUGUUUUCUUACUUCCUGUCAAAGCCACUUUAAAUCACUCAAAUUCACUUUAAAUCACCGUGCCUUGAAAUGUGUAACUACUGCAUUUUGAAUACUUGAAUUUCAUUUAGUAUUCUAUAGAUUUUAAAAUUAUAAAUGUUUUUUAUAGUAUUGUACAGCAAGAUUUUCAGAGUAUAUACUAAUAACCUUUAAUGUUAAUGUUACUAACCUGUCUUUUUGGGCUGCACAGUGACGUAGUGGUUAGCACUUUCUUGCUUUUUCUGUAGGUGGGUACGUUGUCCCGUUAAAUGUUUAACGGAGCCCUUCGAACACAUGGAACCUCAAGCUGCACGACAGCUAAGUUGCUAUGCUAAGUGCAGGACGACAACGUGGUGCCCCAAAAUAUGAAAACAUAAUGUUUCAGCUACCAGAUAAAUACACAAAUAGUUAACCAUGACUAUCGUCUGUCUCGCUCUGUACCAUAGCAUUGUGAAGCGGUUGACUAACUUAGUUACCCAUUGUAAGUAGGAAUAACAGUAGGUUCAAAUCCCGGCCUGGGCCUGGGAUCUUUCUGCAUGGAGUUUGCAUGUUCUCCCUGGGCAUGCGUGGGUUUUCUCCGGGCACUUCGGCUUCCUCCCACAGUCCAAAAAUAUACUGAGGUUAACUGGUUACUCUAAAUUGUCCGUAUGUGAGUGUGAUUGUUUGUCUAUAUAUGUAGCCCUGCGACGGACUGGCGACCUGUCCAGGGUGUAGAUCAGUGGGGUGUCCCCUGCCUUCGCCCGAGUCAUCUGAGAUAGGCUCCAGCUACCCCCCAUGGAUGCAUCAACACUAAGUAGUGCAGCAUACUUUAUACUCUGACUUAAGAGGAUGUUUAUUCUGAUACGUUGUGAUAAACUGAACAUCCAAUUUGUAAAAUUUCACAGAAAUAUGUAACAGGAUAGAAUUAUGAAGUGAUAACAUUUUAGAUCUGAAAGGUCAGCUUAAUGUUUUGCAACAAGUUGUGGGGCCAACAGUUACAGAGUAGGGUGUUGUGACCAUGUUUCAUAUGUGCUCGAUUUUUAGGUGUCUGUGGUGAUCUUCCGUGCUACUUGGUUAAUGUUGUGUGUAAAGCAUCCAUGUCUAAGAAUUUGUAGCUUCACUGCAGCUAUAUCUAUAUUUUAAAACAUUGGCUACUGUCAUCUUUGUGCUCCAUUAGAAUCAGCAUUAUUGACUUUCAGUUCACGAAAUUACUGAAUUUCCCAGUUGCCUUGAACGUGUAUCUAUCGAAAAGCUGCUUGAACUGUCGUAACAAUCCUAUAAAUCCGUGUGCUACUCGACAGAGGAUCUCUUCUCGAUCUGUUCUCUGCUGAAGUGAAGUAGGGAAAUGUGCACAAUGGGAUAUGACCUAAUUGUUGAAUGUGAGGAGGCGCUGAUGUCCCACAGUAUGUGCUGCCACUCUUGUGAUUGAGGUUUUGGAGAUGGCUGUAGUCCUGCUCACCCUUUGCAGGUUUCAUCAACAUCUUGGCCUUCUGCACAGAUGCAGUAAUAUAAUCAAAGGAUGACUUCCUGAUCCCAGACAUCAGUAAGGAUUCCCAGCAAAGGUGAACAUUGAAAUAAGAGUCAUAGAAUAUAAGCCAGAGUCCCGCCCGUUUCUCUCUCAGGCGAGCACAGAGGUGCUGAUGCAUGCUUUUAUAUCUUGUCGCUUGGAUUACUGUAAUGCCCUGCUCUCUGGUCUCCCAAAAAGUAUAUCGAAUCUUCAAUUAUUACAAAAUUCAGCUGCACGAGUGCUGACGAGUACCAGAGGGCGGGAGCAUAUUACACCAGUUUUAAAAUCGCUGCAUUGGCUUCCCGUGUGCUUCAGGAUCAAUUUAAAGGUCUUUUAUUAGUUUCUAAAUGUUUUAAUGGUCUUGGGCCUUCUUAUUUAUCAGACUUACUUUUACCAUAUCAACCCUCUCGGGCCCUGAGGUCCUCUGGUGUGGGUCUUUUAUCUAUACCAACAAGUUAGAUCUAAAACACACGGGGAGGUGGCAUUUGGUUACUAUGGUGCCGUUUGUGGAACAGCCUGCCGGAGAGC